GCUCGGUUGGUGUAGUCCGGCCAAUCAUGUUGGCCUUUCGGGAAAACUUCAGACAGUUUCAAGCUGAAAUAAACUGGCUGGUUUUCGAAGACAGCCGACGACCAGGGUUCAAAUCCCUGACCGAGCA
rnacentral:tRNA from 1 species